GACGAACGCUGGCGGCGUGCUUAACACAUGCAAGUCGAACGGAAAGGCCUCUUUCGUGGGGUACUCGAGUGGCGAACGGGUGAGUAACACGUGAGUGAUCUGCCCUUCACUUUGGGAUAACUCCCGGAAACUGGGGCUAAUACCGGAUAGGAGCUCCUUCUACAGGGUGGGUUUUAGAGUGUUUCGGCGGUUGGGUGUGCGCUCGCGGCAUAUCAGCUUGUUGGUGGGGUAGUGGCUUACCAAGGCCUUGCCGGGUAGCCGGCCUGAGAGGGUGACCGGCCACAUUGGGACUGAGAUACGGCCCAGACUCCGACGGGAGGCAGCAGUGGGGAAUAUUGCACAAUGGGUGGAAGCCUGAUGCAGCAACGCCGCGUGGGGGAUGACGGCCUUCGGGUUGUAAAACGCUUUCGCUAAUGACGAAGCUUUGUGUGACGGUAGUGGGUAAAGAAGCACCGGCUAACUACGUG
rnacentral:rRNA from 1 species